ACAAACUUGGUCAUUUAGAGGAAGUAAAAGUCGUAACAAGGUCUCCGUAGGUGAACCUGCGGAGGGAUCAUUGAUGGUUUGACUUGCCCUUGAGGCAACGUCUUCACCUUCCACCCUUGUGCAUUUAAGCCUUUUUCUUUGGCUGACGGAAGUUGGCCAAAGUCAUGCAAAGUCUUGUAUUAUUGUCUAUGAAGAAAACUCUUAACAUUGAAAACUUUCAACAACGGAUCUCUUGGCUCUCGCAUCGAUGAAGAACGCAGC
rnacentral:misc_RNA from 1 species